rnacentral:sRNA from 1 species
GACUAAGGUUCGAUUCGAGCGCAGCGAGAAAGCGUUGCCGCAGGCAACGACCCGAAGGGUGAGGAGCGGAGCGACGAAUAAUCCUUCCCCCACCACCA